AUCUGCUGCAACUGUGGGUGUAGGAAACAGGGUGUCGCCUAGCUCCUGUUUUCUCUGAGACUGCAGUGCUCUGCAGAUAAUAAUGAGCAAACUUCAGCAAGUAUUGCUUUCCAAGAUGGUAUUUCCAUGGAGAUAUUCCCGAACGUCUCCAGCUGGUGUCCUGCCUAUGGAUUUCAGUUUUGCUUCUAGAAGGCAUCCUGGAAUCUGGAUUGUACACCAUGGAAAAGCCAGCCUGACAUAUUCUGUGAAAGAAUGGAAUUUGCCAGGGGAGAAAGAGCCUUCCUGGCUAUAACCAGUGUGAUUUGGAAUGUGAGGAGGUUGCUGGCUCUGCUGCUGAGAACUGGACCUGCUGCAGUGGCUGUGGGAAGCCAUCCUGUCCCCAGCCCCACAUGUUUGACCUGGACUUCGUUGCCAUUCAGAGGAGCCCUUGAUUUCACCCUGCCAGUCCUACAGCAGCAGCAAAAUAUCCCAGUGUGAACAAUGCUUCACAGAGGAGCUGUCUGACAUCCUGGGACCCUUAGAGCUUGCCUCUCCUUGGAAAAAACAAAAAAGCCAGUAAAAAAAAAAA